UACGAAGGGGGCUAGCGUUGCUCGGAAUCACUGGGCGUAAAGGGUGCGUAGGCGGGUCUUUAAGUCAGGGGUGAAAUCCUGGAGCUCAACUCCAGAACUGCCUUUGAUACUGAAGAUCUUGAGUUCGGGAGAGGUGAGUGGAACUGCGAGUGUAGAGGUGAAAUUCGUAGAUAUUCGCAAGAACACCAGUGGCGAAGGCGGCUCACUGGCCCGUUUCUGACGCUGCAGCGCGAAAGCGUGGGGAUCAAACAGG
rnacentral:rRNA from 1 species